GGCCGCCGGCCUCGUGGGAGAGGCACCCCUCCGCCCCAGGCCGCCUCGUGCGUAUAGCGCCGGCCCAGUCUUGCAAACAGCUAACCUCGAACUAGGACGCGGCCCUCUGCGCCACCCCGUGGGAACCAAGGGUACCAAAACCUCCUGGGGCGACCGGCCUUGGACAAGAGAACGUUCCUCGCAAGCGGAUGUUUUUCCUCAUAUCGCUGUUUUUAAAGACUUUGUCUCCCAAUCAAGAGAAUGAUUUGACUCUACCCUGUCCAUCCUAUCCCCGGCCUCUAUACGCCCCGCUACCCCCAACAGUUGAUUGCAUCCAUGGACACAGAACCCAAGGAUACAGAGGGCCUUGAAUUUGAAUAAAUGAGACAGAUACUGAAACCGCCACCAGGUGGGAGAAGUUAACUGCGUGCUGCCCACAAGCACAUAGACCCCAGACCAGCUGGAACCAGAAGGUUGGUGAUGUUGACUCCUGAUUACCUCACCACCAACCAGUCAGAAGAAUGUCUAGGAGCAGAUCAGCAAGAGACACCAGAGAGUUACUGGGAAACCGUGGCAUCUUGUUUCACAGACCGAAGUAGCCUUUGGUUCAUCCAGGAACAUCCCAUCCUCUGGACCUUCAGGACUGUAUCAUUGGGAGCAGAAAGGGCCAGGAGUGCCACACUAAGAAACAACCACCGGCAGGAACAGACUUGAAAUGGAAGCUGGGCUUGCUCUGAGGCCCUCGGCUGACAGUGACCACACCUGCUGGGUGCUGAGGGCGGUGCACAGGGAGCAGAUGGCAUCUGCAUCUUCGGGGCUUUUCUUCUUUAACUGCAGGAGCUGGGCUGCUUGGAUCAGGGGUUCCAUGGUCUCAGCAACUUCCCUCUGGUGCAGGUUUCUUCCCCGAAGCCACUCCUCCAGCUGACUUAUAUUGUACCUUAGACACAGGAAGAGUGAGCUCUGUUAAACCUGGCCUCCUACUUCACUGGGAAGAGCUCACCUCUUGUGUUUAUUUUGCAGGCCAGCUGCCAUUAGUAUUGUCAUUCUCCUCAUCUUAAUUGUCUCACAUGGGCAAAAGCGUGAAAAGUAGCUGGCACUCAAUAACUUUUUGUGAAAUGAGUGGGUGCUUAAAAUCAAGCCAAGAUGAAGUACCUAAAGUGUCUGUACUAAGUUAAUGAGCAAAAAAGGCAUUAACUAUAUUGAAUUAAAACAACAUUUAACAUUCGCAAACAUGUUUGUACUUCUCUGUGAGCCUUCAUGCCUCUUAAGUCAUUAAUUUUUCUCUCUGACCUAUCCACAUCAUAUUUACAAUCUUUAUAUUAAAGUAU